rnacentral:rRNA from 1 species
UACGGGGGGGGCAAGCGUUGUUCGGAAUUACUGGGCGUAAAGGGCUCGUAGGUGGCCAACUAAGUCGGACGUGAAAUCCCGGGGCUCAACCCCGGAACUGCCUUUGAUACUGGUAGUCUCGAGUCCGGAAGAGGUGAGUGGAAUUCCGAGUGUAGAGGUGAAAUUCGUAGAUAUUCGGAGGAACACCAGUGGCGAAGGCGGCUCACUGGUCCGGUACUGACGCUGAGGUGCGAAAGCGUGGGGAGCAAACAGG